UAAACAAGCUAACUGUCCAUGCUAUCGCUGUUAUAGGGCCAACGAAAGUUGUACAACAAGCAGAACUAGUGGGCUACUUUUUAAACGCAACCGCGUGUUUCCUUUGCGUGCUGUAAAGGCUUUCCAGUGGCAACGGGGUGAUAAGCGGGAUGACGGCCUUCGAGAACUACGGCUAAUGCCACUUCAUGAAACAAAUAUUCUCUCCACCACACACAGUGAUGAUGCAAGCCAUCGCACUAUAACAUUAAUUAGGUGCAGUGCAGGGGGACCCUGCGUGCAUUUGAAGCAUAAUUUUAAACAUAAUCUAUCAAUCAGCUGGCCCAGGUUUGCAGGUUCGGUUCCCCAACCCGCCGUUACAAGUCCACAUCGCUUUAUAUAAAAGUGUUAAAAGUGCUAAAUACCAGUCAACUUUAAAUGGAACUUUAACACACACACACACACACACACACACACACACACACACACACACACGUUGAAUCCUGAAUCACAACAGUGCAAUAGCUACAAACGGCCACCAGGAGGCACAGUGGGAUCAGCACAACACCCAAAUACACUCAAAAGAAAACA